GAUGAACGCUGGCGGCGUGCCUAACACAUGCAAGUCGAGCGAAGCACUUACUUUAGCUUUCUUCGGAAUGACGAAGUUUGUGACUGAGCGGCGGACGGGUGAGUAACGCGUGGGCAACCUGCCCUGUACAGGGGGAUAACAGUUAGAAAUGACUGCUAAUACCGCAUAAGCCCACAGCUUCGCAUGAAGCAGUGGGAAAAACUCCGGUGGUACAGGAUGGGCCCGCGUCUGAUUAGCUAGUUGGUAAGGUAACGGCUUACCAAGGCGACGAUCAGUAGCCGACCUGAGAGGGUGACCGGCCACAUUGGGACUGAGACACGGCCCAAACUCCUACGGGAGGCAGCAGUGGGGAAUAUUGCACAAUGGGGGAAACCCUGAUGCAGCGACGCCGCGUGAGCGAUGAAGUAUUUCGGUAUGUAAAGCUCUAUCAGCAGGGAAGAAAGUGACGGUACCUGACUAAGAAGCCCCGGCUAACUACGUG
rnacentral:rRNA from 1 species